rnacentral:tRNA from 1 species
GUCCCGGUAGUUCAGUUGGUAGAGCACCUGUACGUGGUAGCGAAAGCUAACUACACCAGAAGGUCGCUGGAUCGAAGCCUGUCCGGGAUU